GAGCAAUACUUUUUCUCAUAUAGAAAAAGAGUUACAUUGAAAAAAAAUGAUGAUUUGUAUUAUCAAAUCCUUGAUUUACAUAGCAUGUACAUAGUAUCAUCAAAAACCCCCCAUUCAGCUAUCUUUUUCUAGUUUUCAGCCUCUUAGUUAGGAUAUGCAUAGUACGAAUGUCCAUUUAGGUGUGCUGCAUUAUUACACACUAACCUUCUCUAAUCAUCCUUAAGGAAAUAACCU
rnacentral:lncRNA from 1 species